ACAAAACGACUCUCGGCAACGGAUAUCUAGGCUCUCGCAUCGAUGAAGAACGUAGCAAAAUGCGAUACUUGGUGUGAAUUGCAGAAUCCCGUGAACCAUCGAGUUUUUGAACGCAAGUUGCGCCCGAAGCCAUUAGGUUGAGGGCACGUCUGCCUGGGCGUCUCAUUA
rnacentral:rRNA from 1 species